AGGUGCUCCCACGUAUGGGUCUACUUACGGAGAUGGACAAAACUUAAAUACUGACCUCUACGAUAAUGGUACAAAUAGGAUUUAUAUGGAUGGACCUCCAGGUCUAGAUACACAGAUAUACCAACAACAGCCAUAUAAUACCAAUGAUCAUAGUUAUGGUCCUUAAUAGAAACUAAAAUCAUAGAAUGUCCGACGUAGAAGAAUGAUUAUAUGUAUGGUCCUUCACAAACACUACUGUCAAAGAAUAUUCAAUGUAGAGUAUUAGUCAAAAGAAUUAUUUUCUGUUAAAAAUUUAUAUCUAUUACAUAAAAAGAAUGAGAUAAUAAGAAUGAUUGCAUAUAAUAAUAGUGUUACAAUGUGAUAUAUAUGUAUAUUAGAAAAUGACAGUAUAGUUAUAAAAAAAAUAAUAUUUAAAAUUAUUUUACUGUCAAAAAUAGGCAUUGUAUGAAAGAACCUUUUGUUUUUAAACUACAAGUUCUUAUAUAGAUUUCAGGAUUUUUUUUAGUGAGAUGAUCUAGUCAAAAGCAGCUGUUCAAUAUGAUGUUUGUGAUGUAUUCUGAUUAUAAAAUGUCAUGUACACAAACUUGGUAGUUGAAGUUACCAGUAGUAAAAGAAAGACAACCAUAGCUCAUGCCAAAGAUUGCGCUUAUAAAUGUAACUACACUAAUUAAACAUAACCUUACCUAACUUAAGCAUACAUUUUGUUUGAAACCAAAAAGUUUCUGCUAUUAUUUAGCUUAAUAUAUAGAUAUAAGUUGUUAUGUACCAAUCUCUACCAAAUUCGAUUUGUUUUAAGAAAACUAUACUUCCUAGAUAGUCCAAAUUACAAACAAAAAACGAGAAUCUAAAUAAUUUUCAGGAGAUUUAAAGUAUAAAUGAAUCGAUUUAAGCUAGUGUCAAUCAAUCAAAUUACUAUUUUGUAAUUUACUUUGUUAGUAGACAAGCUGGUCUAAAUCGUUUUUUGCCACUGAGCAAAUGUCAUACAUCUUAAAUUCAUAUACAUAUUACAUUCUCGUUUGUUAAUUAUUUGCCCUUUUUUACAUGGGAAAACGUUAUAUUGGUUAAGAUCAUCUUCGAUUGUAGCAUUAAGGUUGUGUAUCGAAAUCAGCCAGUCGAAUCAAGUUUCAAGACAAAAUAGUGGGGUUAACAAUACAAUGUUUAAAGAGGAGGUAGCUCAGGCUGUGUUUACUCUAAAACUUAAAGCAUGAAUGUACACACAUGAUAUUUGUAAAUGUUUGUGUACAUGUAUUUCAUUUAUUUUCACAAACAUUUAGGACCACUUAGUUAUAUCAGUUGAAAGUAACAAAUGUAAACGUGCAUUACAAUUUUGAAUGUUUAGAAAAAAGUAGGAAAGCAAAUGUAAAAUAUAUUAUACUGAA